CGGAUGAUCCUAUGCUGCCGAGAAAAGCCUCUAGUGAGUGUUGUGGCGGCCCGUACCCUAAACCGACUCAGGUGGUCAGGUAGAGAAUACCAAGGCGAUCGGGUGAACUGUGGUUAAGGAACUCGGCAAAUUGCCCCCGUAACUUCGGGAGAAGGGGGACCUCUGCUGGUGAUGGGCUUUACGUUCUGAGCUGGUGGGGGUCGCAGUGGCCAGGGGGAAGCGACUGUUUACUAAAAACACAGGUCCGUGCGAAGUCGUAAGACGAUGUAUACGGACUGACGCCUGCCCGGUGCCGGAACGUUAAGGGGACCGCUUAGCCAGCUUCGGUUGGCGAAGGUGAGAACUUAAGCGCCGGUAAACGGCGGUGGUAACUAUAACCAUCCUAAGGUAGCGAAAUUCCUUGUCGGGUAAGUUCCGACCUGCACGAAUGGCGUAACGACUUCCCCGCUGUCUCAACCACAGACCCGGCGAAAUUGCACUACGAGUAAAGAUGCUCGUUUCGCGCAGCAGGACGGAAAGACCCCGGGACCUUCACUACAGCUUGACAUUGGCGUUUGGAACGUCUUGUGUAGGAUAGGUGGGAGACUAGGAAGCUGUCACGCUAGUGAUGGUGGAGUCAUUGGUGAAAUACCACUCUGGUCGUUUUGAACGUCUAACUCUGGUCCGUGAUCCGGAUCGGGGACAGUGUCUGGUGGGUAGUUUAACUGGGGCGGUUGCCUCCUAAAGAGUAACGGAGGCGCCCAAAGGUUCCCUCAGCCUGGUUGGCAAUCAGGUGUUGAGUGUAAGUGCACAAGGGAGCUUGACUGUGAGACUGACAGGUCGAGCAGGAGCGAAAGCUGGGACUAGUGAUCCGGCAUCGGCGUGUGGAAGCGGUGUCGCUCAACGGCUAAAAGGUACCCCGGGGAUAACAGGCUGAUCUUCCCCAAGAGUCCAUAUCGACGGGAUGGUUUGGCACCUCGAUGUCGGCUCGUCGCAUCCUGGGGCUGGAGUAGUCCCAAGGGUUGGGCUGUUCGCCCAUUAAAGCGGUACGCGAGCUGGGUUUAGAACGUCGCGAGACAGUUCGGUCCCUAUCCGCUGCGCGCGCAGGAGACUUGAAGGGGGCUGUCCCUAGUACGAGAGGACCGGGACGGACGAACCUCUGGUGUGCCAGUUGUACCGCCAGGUGCACGGCUGGUUGGCUACGUUCGGAAGGGAUAACCGCUGAAAGCAUCUAAGCGGGAAGCUCGCCUUGAGAUGAGGUCUCCCACCCCGUGAGGGGGUAAGGCUCCCGGUAGAUCACCGGGUUGAUAGGCCGGAGGUGGAAGCACGGUAACGUGUGGAGCUGACCGGUACUAAUAGGCCGAGGACUUGACCAA
rnacentral:rRNA from 1 species